rnacentral:lncRNA from 1 species
CUGAAUUUUAUGUCAGGUUUUAUUAGUAUGCUUUAGAAUCUAGAUUUUAUUUCUUGAAAGGACAGUCUAGAAAUUCCUCUACACCUAAGCUGAUUUUCUUUCUUUUGGACAGCAUGAUGUGUUGUGUAACAUGUUAAAACAGUUGUUUUCUAGUGUAUUUUCCAAUAUGAAGAUGGAAAUAUGAAUAUGACAUCAUAAAAAUGUAGACCUUGAGGAGUGGAUGAAGUGUCUAGAUUUCAUCCCCAGAAUAUAGGACGUAAUUACAUAUAUCUAAUUACGUAUAUCUACAGUAUCUUGUUACUGACAAAUAUGUUUUAGAGACCUCCUAACAGUAAAAUAAUUCUAUUAAAUUUCUUUUUUAUAAAGAUCUCAUUGAUCUUUUAUUCAACAAAUAUUUUGUGCCUACUCUUUGCCAAGUUACGUGCUAGACUGAGCACAGAGAAAUACAGAGGCCCCUUUCAAGUUGCUGUCAGUCUAAUAGAAUAAGAUAAAUAUGAACAUAAAUCAUUACAUAUAACAGCUAAAGGAACUGUGAACUAAAUGCAAUAGUAAAACAAACAGUGAAUUCGUCAACUCUGAUAGAGUUAAUCCAGAAAAUGCUUCAUAGAGGAAGAGAUGCUUACACUAGGUUUUGAAUGAUCAGUAGUUCUUAAGGUGGGAAAAAAGGCAUUAUUUUAGGAAAACUAGCAGGAUCUGAAGAGCAAAUCUGCCUGAAAUUAACAUGGAGUAUGGGGAAAUUCUAAGUUUUUAUGGUUAGGGCAAAGGUUAUAUGUAGAUGUUUGGCUAGAGAAGAUAUUGAAGAAAUAAACCAAGGCCAAACAGUGAGAACUACUAUCAUGAGCUUGGACUUUUAUCCUUUUUGGUGACUUUGGAAAAUAGAGACAUCAAAGGAUUUUACUAUGAGAAUUGCAGGAUAAGAUUGGCAUUUUAGAUUUUUUUCCUAGCAAAUUAGAGAAAAUAUUGUGAAGGUAGGUCUGAAUGGGAAGUUAGAAGACCAAAUAUAAACAUUUUUAAACAUCCAGGAGAGAGAAAGAAGUAAGGCAGCUGAUGACUAGACGGCAGAAAAGGAAGAGAUGGCAAAGAAGGAGACGCAACUGAACCGAGAAUCCAGACCCCUUGUGUCAACAUGACUUAACCAUUUAUUCCAGGAAGUUCUUUACCAGGAAGGGAAUGCUGCAGACCAAGCAUUACUUUCAUUUUUGCCCAUUUGCAUCAGGAAGUCCUUACACACAAACUUAUUUGAGCAGUUUGCUCAUCUGGGCGAACAGAACUCCCAUUAAGAUAGCAUUUUGCUCACCUGGACAAACAUCCUGCUGCUCCGGUACCAGUUUGCUUUCAAACACUCCUCAGAAUUCUUGCCAUAUCGAGUCCGUCCAUCCUGAAGUAUUACAUCAUGAAUUUGGCCCGGUUCCAGUCAAUUCCCCAUCUUGAAGAGCCCACCUAACACCACUUGAACCUAGACUCCAGAAGCGCCUUCCAAGAAGUUUGGACUUGCCAGGACAAUUGUGUGAGUUAAUUCCUUAAAAUCUCUCUCUCUUCAUAUAUGUGUGUGUGUCUGUGUGUCUGUGUAUCAGGUGAGAAAAUUGGGAAGAGUAGGUUAAUUAACUUACUUAAGAUCAAGCAGCUAGACUAUGGACAAAACAAGGCUGAGCCCAGACUCUGUGAGUCAGGACCCCUUGUACACAACCUGCGCAGCAUCCUUCAAACUCCUAAUAGAAAUAACCUGUAUGCCUACUUCUAGGAGUGGCAAGGCAAACAGUAAAACAUGGCAAAGUGGAAAGAUAUUGUGCCAGUUAUAAUGAGAAUGGAGUCCUCAUCUUGUUUCUGUUAUACUUUUUAAACUUGUGUUUUAAUUAACCCUUCUAGUCUUAAUUUGAGUAAUUGGCAUUGAACUAAAUGGGCACUAUUUUUUGAGAGCCUUUGAGUAAUUUUAUGAAAAUGUAGACAUUUAAAGUAAUCUUGGCUUAGUGUUUUUCAUGCACUGCAUUUUUUGGUUUCUAUAUCUGGAAAUUCAGUGUUUAAAGUAGCAAACAAAUUUGAUACCAUCCUACAUAAUUUUUAG